AUACGUAGGUGACAAGCGUUAUCCGGAUUUACUGGGUGUAAAGGGCGUGUAGGCGGUUUAGCAAGUCAGAAGUGAAAUUCCCGGGCUUACCUUGGGCGCUGCUUCUGAAACUGCUUUACUUGAGUGCUGGAGAGGAUAGUGGAAUUCCUAGUGUAGCGGUAAAAUGCGCAGAUAUUAGGAGGAACACCGGUGGCGAAGGCGGCUAUCUGGACAGUAACUGACGCUGAGGCGCGAAAGCACGGGGAGCAAACAGGAUUAGAUACCCUGGUAGUCCACGCGGUAAACGAUGAUCACUAGGUGUUGGCACGCAUAGCGUGUCGGUGCCGCAGCAAACGCAAUAAGUGAUCCACCUGGGGAGUACGUUCGCAAGAAUGAAACUCAAAUGAAUUGACGGG
rnacentral:rRNA from 1 species